rnacentral:rRNA from 1 species
UACGUAGGGAGCGAGCGUUGUCCGGAUUCAUUGGGCGUAAAGAGCUCGUAGGCGGCUUGGCAAGUCGGGUGUGAAAACUCCAGGCUCAACCUGGAGACGCCACCCGAUACUGCCAUGGCUAGAGUCCGGUAGGGGACCACGGAAUUCCUGGUGUAGCGGUGAAAUGCGCAGAUAUCAGGAGGAACACCGGUGGCGAAGGCGGUUCUCUGGGAAUGACCUGACGCUGAGGAGCGAAAGUGUGGGGAGCGAACAGG